rnacentral:rRNA from 1 species
UACAGAGGGUGCGAGCGUUGUCCGGAAUCACUGGGCGUAAAGGGCGCGUAGGUGGCUGGGUAAGUGUGCGGUGAAAGUCCGGGGCUCAACCCCGGAUCGGCCGUGCAGACUGCUUGGCUUGAGCAUAGUAGAGGCAGGUGGAAUUCCGGGUGUAGCGGUGGAAUGCGUAGAGAUCCGGAAGAACACCGGUGGCGAAGGCGGCCUGCUGGGCUAUUGCUGACACUGAGGCGCGACAGCGUGGGGAGCAAACAGG